rnacentral:tRNA from 1 species
CGCGGGAUGGAGNCUGGUUAGAGCUCUCGGCUCAUAACCGAGUGGUCGUAGGUUCAAAUCCUGCUCCCGCAA